GGGGUUGUAGCUCAGUGGAAGAGCAUCUGCCUUGCAUGCAGGAGGUCCCAGGUUCAAUUCCUGGUAGCAUCUCCA